AUUCUUUUUGAACACUCAAAUUUUAGGUGAGAGUUCACCUAAGAACUCAUCUCUUCCCCGCCUCCGUGUGUCUCUGUCUGCUUCUCCACAUCCUUCAAUCUGCUUCACAACACGUUCGCUCUCUGUUUCCAAAUCGAUGUGGUCAUCGUUUCUCCUACGCUCGCUGCUUCUUCUAUUUCAAACAAAUUGAACGGUUUAGCACACCAUGUCGGCCCUUCCUAAGAUGCUGCUUACAUCGAGAAGCUCUACACACAGCGAGCAACAUAACAGUGCCAAGAACAAAUCUCAGGUCAUUCUCACCAUCAUAUUUUUAAUCCCUAAUUUAAUGACUCUUCCUUUUUUAUUUAGGGUUUUAGAUGGCGUUGUUGUUGUUGUUGUUCGAUUUUCUUACAAUUAGGGUUGGGAACUGUCGUUUUACUCUCUCUAUUUCGCUUUUUUUUCACAAACAUUCGGAUCUUUGGGAAAAUUUUGGUGUUUGAUUUUGUGCUUAAACCUUCUUCCAAUGUUGAAGGUGGGUAGGUUCUUUUAUCUUUCCUCUAUAAGGCUUUUAAUUAUUCGAUAUUUGGCUGAUCAAAGUUAUGCAUAUCUUUAGGGUAACAAAAAUACCUAAUUCAAGGGUCCAUAUAUUUUUUAACACAAAUUGUGUGAAUGAAUGAAAGUAAAGGGUAAAGGGUUUGUCCUCUUACGGUAGACAUGUCAUAUGAUCUUUAAAACAAGAUUCAGAAGUGUGAAAGAGUGAUUCCUAAGUUUAAAGAUGCAAGAUUUGGUAAUUAGGUUGAAAUCGUUUUAGCCAAAGCCAAGCAUAGUGGUUCCUAGUUUGUGUAAUAAUUUAAUAUCAAACUGAAUGAAGCUACUGAUUUGUUAAGGUUUUUACUCAUGUUGCUUCUUUGAUUCUUUCUAAUACAAUGCAUACUCCUUAGUUUUCUGAUACAAGGCAUAUUGUUUGCCGUUAACUCACUUCCUUGUUUCAGACAUUGGUGCUUUCAUAUUUCAGACAUUGUUUCACACACUCUUCAAGUUUCAGUUACGUGUGCGACAUCAUGAAUGUUAUUUAAUCCAUGCAUUGAUUUUGUUUCAUGGUUUGAUAUAUAGUUUUUUACUUUUGACGUGUGUAUUCUAAUUUAUGAUGCGUGAGGCUCUGGAUCCAUGUCAAGACCCAACUAUUCUAAACGCUUAAGUACUUGUAAAACUCAUUUAAGGUCCAAAUUUGUUUUAAACAUGAUAAUUUUUUUGGAAUACUUGCUCUUUCAGUUUUCUUCCUACAGUUGUUUUUUUUUAUAUUUUAUUUUAUUGCUACUGGUGCAUAUGAAGAUGAUUUGGCUCUGUUUUUUGUGUCAAUAAUUGCUAGUGAUAUUGUUGGAAAUUAAAUCAAACAAUCUAGAAGAAUUUGCAUUUUCAGGGACUAUAUACUUUCAAUGACUGAAACUUGUUUGGUGGCUCUAUGAUUAUGUUAAAGUUCCACUAGAUGCAUACUUGAUGGACUUUGUGUUCUCUGAGAGUGAACAUGGUGGAGUUUUUUAUAACAAAUUUGGAAUGGACUACCACAUACCUGUUUUUGGUGAUAUUGUGAAGGAACCUCUCCUUUGCAUAUCAUUCAUAUUGCUGUUGAGAUGGCCCCAAUUGCAAAGAGUAUUUCCUCAAAAGUUAUGGAAGCGUUCGAUAAUCGGCCUCUCAGUAAGAUUAAAGGGACCGGUAUGUAGUCAUGGUACCAAGAAUGUAUAUCAUGGAGCAUGUAGAUUAGAGGCUUCUAGUUUAAUACAUACAUGAUUUAAUUUAUUUUCUAUAGGAGGUUUAUUUAUUUUGUAAUACUGACUUUAAAGAAAAAAGCAUUAGUUAAAGCCUUGUUUAAUAUUAUGGAGCAUGUGUGCAUGUUUAA